rnacentral:rRNA from 1 species
CAGCCGUAAACUAUGCGCGUUAGGUGUAUCGGUGACCACGAGUUACCGAGGUGCCGAAGGGAAACCGUGAAACGUGCCGCCUGGGAAGUACGGUCGCAAGGCUGAAACUUAAAGGAAUUGGCGGGGGAGCACCACAACAGGUGGAGCCUGCGGUUUAAUUGGACUCAACGCCGGGAAGCUCACCGGAUAGGACAGCAGAAUGAUUGCCGGGCUGAAGACCCUGCAUGACUAGCUGAGAGGUGGUGCAUGGCGUCAGUG